rnacentral:ncRNA from 1 species
CCAAAGGCUCUUUUCAGAGCCACCCACGUUUUUCCUAAGAAGUGCU